CAUUAUUUCAUACAGAAGGAUGGUCUUCCUGCUAACCCUUAGGGCUGUCGCACCUCCAACGGUGCCGAUAGUGGACUGUGCGUGGCAGGGGCGUCCUCUUCCCUGAGCCAGGUCUAAACCUGACCGCAUACCAAAGAAGGGAGCUAAGUUUCGCUGCAGGGUCUUCAGCUGGGGACCACCGUUCAUGGAUGUUUCGCCCCUUAGCCAGAACAUCUCCUGGUGGCGGGGCAGUGUACAGGGACGUCUCCCUGACACCCCCUGCAGCCAAACUUAGUUUGAUGUUCCCCCCCAAGACUUGUCUCGUCGUCUCAACCAGAGCCAGUGGCUUGCCUUCUCUGCUUCCUCUGAAAGUUCUUUUGUGGCUUUACUCAAUCUGGCUCCCCGUAGCCCCACGUCCUUGAGUAGGCGAGACGUGGAGCUGCCAAGGAAACCUCUUGAUCCCACUUCCACUGGGUAUGUCCUCGCUUUCCACCCGCUUUCCCUGCACUCCGCAACCAGGUCAGCAUACUUUGCCAUCUUCCUUUCGUAGGCAGCUUCCAGUCCCUCCUCCCAUGGCACUGUCAGCUCAAUCAGCAGGACUGACUUUGUGGCUGCAGACCACAGCACCACAUCUGGUCUUAGGGUGGUGGUGCAGAUCUCCUGUGGGAACUGGAGCCGUCUACCCAGAUCCACCUCCAUCUUCCACUCCGCCCCUGGCGCUAGCAGCUUGGUGGGUGGUGGUCUCUUGCUGGAGUGUUCUGCAGGUUCCCCCUGUCUAAGGAAGUGGAUCCUGUGUUGCUUCAUUGAUGGACUGAGCUUGUUGGCCUCCUGGCGGCUUCUCUCCAACACCUCUGCCAAUUUCCUGAGAACUUGGUCAUGCCGCCAUGUGAACCGACCCUGUGUCAGCGCUGUUUUGCAUCCAGACAGUACGUGUUGGAGGGAGGCAUUGAUGGUCCCACAGAGGUCGCAGGAUUGCUCUGUUCCAAGCCACUGAUGGAGAUUUUGGGGGCUAGGUAGUGUGUCAUAGGUCGCUCUGAUGAGGAAACUGAGUCGAGCUUGUGGCACUUUCCAGAAGUCUGCCCAGUUCAUUGCUCGGUUCGUGACACCCUCCCAGUUCGUCCAGCGCCCCUGCUGCCCCUGUGCCACAGAUUUCACUCUGAACUCCUCCUGUUCCACUCUGGUGACCUCAGCAACAACAAGGUCCUUUCUCUCCUUCCUGUUUGCCUUGGACCACAGAAUGGGAGGGUCUGUCCAUCCAAGGCCUGCCCGCCCUGUCUGGACCCUGCCCACAACUUCCUGGUGUUGCAGCCUGCCCACCACCUUCUGGACCUCAUCCACAGCCUUCCAUUUCCUUCCUGUUGCAACUCUGGCAUUUGCUUCUGCCACUGUCCUGUUGGAGGAGUCCCUUAGUUCCAUCACCAACCUCGCCUUCUCCUGCCCGUAUCCCAGCGUGAUGGAUUUCAGCGGCAGUUGGAGUGAGUUCCAACCAUAUAGGCCAGCUGCAGAGAAACAUCGCGGCAGUCCGAGCCACUUGCGGAUAAAGGAGUUGGCUUUUGCCUCCAUCCGGCUUACGGCUGAUGAGGUGACUUCGCACAGUUUCAGAGGCCACAUCACUCUCGGGUACAGGGUGAAGUGAUAGCACCACACCUUGUGCUUUCCGGGUAGCUGGCUUGAGUCGAUUUUUGACAGGCCUUCUGAAAGCUGCUGAAGGAUGGUUUUCCCCAUGUCCUUGUCUGAGAGACCAGAUGUAUAGAGUCUACCCAGGCUUCGGAUGGGCUGGUCCGCGAUGAGGGGGAUGACUUCUCCGCCGAUGGUGAAGGUGACUCUGUCAUUCCUCUCCCCUUUCCGCAGCGAGAGGCUCCUUGACUUCUGUGGCUUAAACUUCAUCCUUGCCCAGGAGAUCAGUUCGUCCAGCCUCUUCAGCAGCCUGGAUGUACAUGGCGCAGUUCGUAGCAGGCACGUGAUGUCGUCCAUAUAGCUCCUUAGGGGAGGGAGCCUCUGACCUGCAGGCAAUCGGACGCCACCCACCACUUGCCUUGCCCCGAUCAGGAUGACCUCAAAUGCUGCCACAAAGAGGAUGGGGGAGAUGGAGCAUCCCAUUGCAAUCUCUACUUCCAGUUGUUGCCAACCAGUAUUGAACUUCUUCAGUGCAAAGAACAUGUGCAGGUCCUGGAAGUACUUCAUGAUCAUGUUCUUGAUGUUGUCUGGAAUGUAGAAGAAGUUAAGGGCGUAUGCUAUCAGCUGGUGUGGCACUGACCCGUAGGCAUUGGCUAGGUCCAGCCAAAUGGCAUGCAGAUCUUUCUUCUCCCUCUUGGUGGUCUGAAUCUGUUCCCAGAUCAUUGAGGCAUGCUCCACGCAGCCAGGGAACCCCGGUACUCCGGCUUUCUGGCAACUGGUAUCAAUGAAGCUGUUUUCCAUCAGAUAGGUGGUCAUUCUUCUUGCCAUCACAGAGAAGAAUAUCUUUCCCUCCACAUUUAGUAGGGCUAUGCUCCUGAACUGCUCGAUGGUCUUGGCGUUCAGUUGUUUUGGGAUGGAGACAGCUACUGCCCUUUGCCACUCGGAUGGUAUGCUCUGCUUCGUCCAGGCGACUCUCAUCAGGGUCCACAGGAGCUUCAGCACGCUAGGGCAGUUCUUAUAAAGCUUGUACGGUAUUCCGUUUGGCCCUGGUGCUGAUGCAGAUCUCGCUCGCUGGAUCACCUGUGUGACCUCGCCGAGUUUGGGUGGUGAUGUAUCAAACAGGGCUGAUGGUUCUGUGGGCCUGGGCACAUACCCUGGUGAGCCUAGAGGAUUGUUCUUUGCUGGGUCACUGUAUUGAGCUCGGAUGUGUUCUUCCAGGUCUUCUUUGGAGACAUCCAGAGUUCCACUUGUCUUCUCCACGAGGAGCGAUCGUGCGUGCUGGAAUGGAUUCCUGAAGAAGUUUGAUCUUUCCUUUUCUUUCCUUUUCCUCCGUUUUCGAAUGCGCUCUGCCCUCCGUAGGUUUGCAAGACGUUUCUUGAUGUCAUCCCAGAGGACUUUCAGACCGUCUUUCUCAAACUCCUCUGCUUUCCUCCAACGCUUGUGGAGCUGCCUUCUGCUUGCCACCAGGUCAUCAAUCUCUUUCUCCCUCCUCCCCUUUAUCCUUGCUGCUGGUUCUCUGAUGGUCACCUCACCAUACCUGUUGCUGCAUUCUUCAUACAAGAUCUCCCCGAACAGGUUUAGCUUGGAUUCCACUGACCCGCGUAGUGCACUUUGCAGCAGCCCGCUCAAGUGUUCGUCCAGCUUUCUCCACUCUUCAGUUUCGCUGGCCUUUGGCCACUUGACCUUACUUCUUCGGAGUGGUCUCUUCAGUCUCCUGGCCCUUUGAUAUGACUCCGUUCCUGGGUCACUUGGGGGUACAACUGGGUUCGCUUCUUGGGGCUCUUCCACAUCCCUUUCUUCCUCUUCUCUUUCCUCCUGACCUGCCACUGCAGAGUUGGGCCCGAUGGCACUGUGGUUGUCUACCUGGCCUUGGAUCCCAUUUGUCUGACCUGCCCUUUCCGGGGCAGUGCAAGCUUGCACGUGGCUACCACCACCACACUUCAUCUUUCCCAUGUGGAUGUGAAGUCCCCUCAAAGUAGUUGUUUUUUUCCCAGCCGCACCCGCACUUCCUGAGGAUCUUCUCUUUUGCCAAUGUCCUUUCGUUUGUUACCGUUUGGUCCGUCCUUGUAGGCCCCUCUUCCAUCCCGCCUCUCGGGGGGCCUUCGGGCUGUUUUCUUUGUUUCCUUUUUGUAGUAUGUUUUGGGUGUCUCCCCAUGGGAAACUAGAGGGUAGGGUUACUAGCCCGUCUCUCCCGGUGCAGUCUAUCCUGCCGCCACCAGUCUAUCCUGGUUGUCCUCCAGUCUUCCCUGGACUCCAACUGCCCUAUUCACAGUAGUCACUGUCUCCAGAAGUGCAUUAUUUCAUACAGAAGGAUGGUCUUCCUGCUAACCCUUAGGGCUGUCGCACCUCCAACGAUGCCGAUGGUGCCGAUCAUAAAGAUAACACCAGGCCUAUGGUCAGUUAUCACACAGAUUACAGACAACUACUGAUGAGCUGUGCUGUCUUAAUGUGAAUUAAAACCGAUCGCUACAUGCAAUCACUAAUGAAGUUUUCGAGCAGCACAUGGAAGUAUGUAAGGAGAGCUUGGACAAGUUCAUCUUAAACUGCUGCUCCUCAGAGUCAGAGAAUCAGUCAAUCUUUGCCAUGAGAAAGAAUGUAAAAGACAAAGAAAAAAAAAAGACUGUUUGCUGUUCAUCACUGUUUCUUACCCUGACCCACAACAGCAGUCUGACGUGUAAAAUAAACAGUUUAACAGUAGUUACUUCAUGCUUCUGGGUUUCUUUGCUGCUGUGGGACAUCAAGUGCCACUGCUAAUAUUAGUAAUCUACCUGACCCACUAUAAACUCCUGACAAAGCUUUAAAUGGACUGUGAAAUUUUACACUAUUAACAGAGUUAUAGCUUUUAAUACUAUUUGAUCACACAUUUAAAUAAUUUAAUUACUUUGCAUAAACAUGUCAUUUUUUCCAGACAUUUCUGCACCUCUUCCUCUCAGGGGCUAUUCCUGUUUUUUGAUUAUUAUUAUUUUUUAAGUCAUUAACACAUCCUUGAAAAGAGAAAGCAGAAAUGCUAAUGCAGCUGAAACAUUCAUGUCAUAUUAAAACACUCACAGUGAACAUUUAACAACAGCAAAGAAAACUCUAUGCUAACUAGAAAAUUCCCUCAGAAAUUUUUUGAAAGGGCCAAAAGAGGGAGUGUCCUGUGACCCUCGUUUCUACUUCUGUCAUCUGCCUUCUGACACACUUGGCUUAUAAUCAGACUUAAUUUAUAAAGCACUUUAACACAAAAAACUGUGCAUAAAAAGAAAAGGGACACAAUACAAAGAACAAACUACCCAAUCAAUAAAUAAUAAGUAAAUCCCAAUAAAUAAAUCACUUUACGCUGGUUGCACAGGGAGUAUUCUGGGCAGUGUACUGCGCAG